rnacentral:lncRNA from 1 species
GAAGGCUUCCAGGAGGAGGUAGGACUUGAGCCAGCGUUAAAGGGCAGGGUUUAGACUUGGGGGAGGAGAGACCCUGUUCCCCAUCAGUUGCUCUUGUCUCUUCCUAGGAUUACCAUUAACAAGGACACCAAGGUGCCCAAUGCCUGUUUGUUCACCAUCAACAAAGAAGACCACACGCUAGGAAACAUCAUUAAAUCGUAAGUUCCAAGGCAAAGGCUCUUGGGCAGUGUUUAGGGGGCUCUCUGAGGCAGAGCAGAAAUUCCAGAUUUCCUGGUCUUUCUGAGCUACUGGAAGAUCUGGGUGCUUGUUCUGGCAGCUCACAUGUAAACGUGCAUUUUCUGCAGGACACUGACCCGUGUCGGUUCACGUAGCCAUGUUUCUGUGUUGGCUCAUCUAGCUGAGGAAAGGAAGCGAACGCGCAGUGAGCCAGAGGAGAGCAGACCUACUUGUGUUUUGGGGCUGGGCACGGAGCAGCAGUCAGGAUUAGUGGCCCCCCACCCCGGCCACCCCGGUUUGUCACGGUGACCUCAGUAACACCUGGCAUGCAAAGAUAACACGUGCCAGAGACUGUAACGUACAGAGUAAAGGAAAGAGGUGGGAGAGAGGCUGUGGUGACCUGGCGCCCCUGUGGACAGAGCGCGGAUAUUGGUUGGUGGGUGUUUGUUUACGCCGGUGAGAUCCCGGCCAGAUGCGAUUGCUGUUCCGGCCCAAGGAUUUGUUUCACUGAUGAAAAGCACUAUCGGUGAGGCCGGGUCUUUCCAAGGUUUGAGGUCGUGGGCAGGAGCCUGCCCGGUCUCCCGGCUGAAAGGAGGAGGUGGACUUGGCCGCCUGUCUUCUCUCUGGCCGAGUCCUGCCCUGAGCCGGGUGGUGGUGCUCAGGCCCUCCUGGGGCCUCGCCGCUCCCAUGCAAGGCGAGGCACGUCCCCCGGGCUUCAGUUCACUUCGCCACAGCCUUGCAGAACGGGGCCCUCUGUGUGUGGGCAGCAGCUGCCAGCCCGUGUUGCCCAGAGGACUUCGAUUUCUCCCCCUGCUGCCUUUACUGCUCUCAUCGGGCUGGAAGCCGGGCUUCGUAUUUUGUGUUCUGGUUUACUGAAUCCUGGCUGCCUAGGGAGGGCUCUUUUGACUUCCCCUGAGGGAAGUUUUCUGGAAAUCCUGCUUACCACGUGGGAUUCCCACAGAUGUGUUUAUGAGAGGCUUCCCCAUGUGGUCUAUCUUCGAAGCGUUUUCUUUCAGGAUUUUUUUUGGGGAAAUCAAGAGCAGGGAGCCACCUGGGGUCAGCCCCCCGGCUGUAUUUGCUUAUAGGUUUCAACCCAAUGGGAAGAUUCCUUGGUGAUAGGCCUGGUAAUCCCCAGGGGUGCUAGGCUCAGCCUCCCUGCGUCACACUGGCCAUCUGUGUGUCCCAGACAGCUGCUGAAGGACCCCCAGGUGCUGUUUGCGGGCUACAAAGUCCCCCACCCCUUGGAGCACAAGAUCAUCAUUCGGGUGCAGACCACACCGGACUACAGCCCCCAGGAGGCCUUCACCAAUGCCAUCACAGACCUCAUCAGCGAGCUUUCGCUGCUGGAAGAGCGAUUCCGGGUGAGGAGCCAGCUGUGCGGGGGGCGGGGAUGUUCUCGUGCCCACAUCCGGGGCAACCAUUGGGGGCAGGUGGUGACAGAGCAGGGAUGUGACUAUAGUCUCGAGCAAGUGCGGACUAAGGGGUUAUGGAGCCUGCUGUCUGCACGCAUGGGUGGGACCUUACUGAGGGCUCCAGGCUUUCCUUGGGUGCUCUUAUGGCCCCUUGGGGCUCCUCCCCCAAGUCUUCUCUGUGGUGCCGGCUACUCUGGUUUGUAAGGCCUGUCUGCUUCCAGGGCAUUUCUGGAGGGGGCAGCUCAUCCUGGGGUGGGGGUCCCAUAGUUAGGGGGGGAUGGCCACACCUAUCCCUGCAGGGGGGCUCAAAGUCUAGACCCAAGAUAGAGCGGGAAAGAUCCACGGCUUGUCAGAUUUUAACAUCUGUGUCAUCUGCACCUUGCACAGAUGGGGUGGGGCCGCUGCUGACUGCCCGGCUCCCGGGAGAGGGGCCAGGGUGGCGGUUCCCUGGCAGACCUCUGUCGGGGACCCUGGGGUUGUGUUCCCGGCACCCAGCCCUGGGCCUCUCUGGCUAAGUGCUCUGCUGCCCCUCUCUGCUCAGGUGGCCAUCAAAGACAAGCAAGAAGGCAUCGAAUAGAAAGCUGGAGGGGUCUUGCUUGGCACCUGCACUGGAACCUUCUCCAGGCCUCAAGUAGAGAGCUGCUUCCCCAGCUUCGGGGACAUCCUGGUGAGCCCCUCCCUCCAGAGCCAAUGUGUAUGUACAUAGAGUCUGUUUUACCUUCCAAAUAAAAGUGUGGCAGGAAGAGACCUGGAUGUGGGCUAAAGCAAGGUGACCACACAGCACGUGGAUUGCGAGGCUCCAUGGAGGUAGAUGACCUCUUGCACGGUUACUCUGGGGCUGUAUUUCAGAGUGGAAGACUCAAGUUUUGUCUGAGAAGGUGGCGCGAUCCCUCAUUCUAGACCAACAACUGCAAAGCUGGGGGGCGGCCAGGGAGGCAGUGCUUCCAGGAGUCCCUCAGCUGCCAGGUCCGCCUGCCCGUGUCAGACUAGGAACGCCAGACGGGGCCACAAACCGCUCUCCAGUCUUCUCUUAAACAGUAGAGACUUUAAUAAAAACAUUCGCCGAUAAAAAGCUCCCUGUCGUUAGCCCCAAAGCUGAAUAAGUUAAGUUGUGUCCCUGGUGCUCCGCGACAGGCAGGAGGCCCUGCUCUGGCUACGGUCUCUUCCAGAUGGCCACGAUGUUGGAGUCUGUCAGAGCGGUGAGGUAGGUAAAGGUGGGGUUGGCCACCACUGUGUUCACCAUGG